GCUUCCGUGGCCUAAUGGUAAGGCGUGUGACUUCUACCUUCCAACCGAAGUAUUAGCAAUCCCAAGAUUGCGGGUUCGAGCCCCGCCGGAAGCU